AGGGAAUUUUCGGCAAUGGGGGAAACCCUGACCGAGCAACGCCGCGUGAAGGAAGAAGUAAUUCGUUAUGUAAACUUCUGUCAUAGAGGAAGAACGGUGGAUAUAGGGAAUGAUAUCCAAGUGACGGUACUCUAUAAGAAAGCCACGGCUAACUACGUGCCAGCAGCCGCGGUAAUACGUAGGUGGCGAGCGUUAUCCGGAAUUAUUGGGCGUAAAGAGGGAGCAGGCGGCACUAAGGGUCUGUGGUGAAAGAUCGAAGCUUAACUUCGGUAAGCCAUGGAAACCGUAGAGCUAGAGUGUGUGAGAGGAUCGUGGAAUUCCAUGUGUAGCGGUGAAAUGCGUAGAUAUAUGGAGGAACACCAGUGGCGAAGGCGACGAUCUGGCGCAUAACUGACGCUCAGUCCCGAAAGCGUGGGGAGCAAAUAGGAUUAGAUACCCUAGUAGUCCACGCCGUAAACGAUGAGUACUAAGUGUUGGGUGUCAAAGCUCAGUGCUGCAGUUAACGCAAUAAGUACUCCGCCUGAGUAGUACGUUCGCAAGAAUGAAACUCAAAGGAAUUGACGGGGGCCCGCACAAGCGGUGGAGCAUGUGGUUUAAUUCGAAGCAACGCGAAGAACCUUACCAGGUCUUGACAUCGAUCUAAAGGCUCCAGAGAUGGAGAGAUAGCUAUAGAGAAGACAGGUGGUGCAUGGUUGUCGUCAGCUCGUGUCGUGAGAUGUUGGGUUAAGUCCCGCAACGAGCGCAACCCCUGUUGCCAGUUGCCAGCAUUAAGUUGGGGACUCUGGCGAGACUGCCGGUGACAAGCCGGAGGAAGGCGGGGAUGACGUCAAAUCAUCAUGCCCCUUAUGACCUGGGCUACACACGUGCUACAAUGGACAGAGCAGAGGGAAGCGAAGCCGCGAGGGGGAGCGAAACCCAUAAAACUGUUCUCAGUUCGGACUGCAGUCUGCAACUGGACUGCACGAAGAGGGAAUCGCUAGUAAUCGGGAAUCAGCAGGUCGCGGUGAAUACGUUCUC
rnacentral:rRNA from 1 species